rnacentral:rRNA from 1 species
GACGAACGCUGGCGGCGUGCUUAACACAUGCAAGUCGAACGGAAAGGCCCUGCUUUUGUGGGGUGCUCGAGUGGCGAACGGGUGAGUAACACGUGAGUAACCUGCCCUUGACUUUGGGAUAACUUCAGGAAACUGGGGCUAAUACCGUAUAGGAGCUCCUGCUGCAUGGUGGGGGUUGGAAAGUUUCGGCGGUUGGGGAUGGACUCGCGGCUUAUCAGCUUGUUGGUGGGGUAGUGGCUUACCAAGGCUUUGACGGGUAGCCGGCCUGAGAGGGUGACCGGCCACAUUGGGACUGAGAUACGGCCCAGACUCCUACGGGAGGCAGAAGUGGGGAAUAUUGCACAAUGGGCGGAAGCCUGAUGCAGCAACGCCGCGUGCGGGAUGACGGCCUUCGGGUUGUAAACCGCUUUCGCCUGUGACGAAGCGUGAGUGACGGUAAUGGGUAAAGAAGCACCGGCUAACUACGUG